AGUAGGGCCUGCCCACUGAUUUAUUGAAGGGCCGCAGUAUCUUAACUGUGCAAAGGUAGCAUAAUCAUUAGUUUUUUAAUUGAAAGCUGGAAUGAAUGGUUUGAUGAAAAAAUAGCUGUUUCAUUAUUAAUUAAUUAAAACUUUAUUUUUAAGUGAAAAAGCUUAAAUAAUUAUAAAAGACGAGAAGACCCUAUAGAGUUUAAUUAAUAAAAAUUAUUUUUUAUAAGAAUAAAGUUUUUUAUAGUUUAAAAUUAAUUUAAUUGGGGUGAUUAAAAAAUUGAAUAAACUUUUUUUAUAUAAUUACAUUAAUUUAUGAAUACUUGAUCCAUAAAAAUGAUUAAAAGAAU
rnacentral:rRNA from 1 species